rnacentral:snRNA from 1 species
UACGGACAAGGGGAAUCCGACU